GACGAACGCUGGCGGCGUGCUUAACACAUGCAAGUCGAACGGAAAGGCCUUGCUUUUGUGGGGUGCUCGAGUGGCGAACGGGUGAGUAACACGUGAGUAACCUGCCCUUGACUUUGGGAUAACUUCAGGAAACUGGGGCUAAUACCGGAUAGGAGCUCCUGCUGCAUGGUGGGGGUUGGAAAGUUUCGGCGGUUGGGGAUGGACUCGCGGCUUAUCAGCUUGUUGGUGGGGUAGUGGCUUACCAAGGCUUUGACGGGUGGCCGGCCUGAGAGGGUGACCGGCCACAUUGGGACUGAGAUACGGCCCAGACUCCUACGGGAGGCAGCAGUGGGGAAUAUUGCACAAUGGGCGGAAGCCUGAUGCAGCAACGCCGCGUGCGGGAUGACGGCCUUCGGGUUGUAAACCGCUGUCGCCUGUGACGAAGCGUGAGUGACGGUAAUGGGUAAAGAAGCACCGGCUAACUACGUG
rnacentral:rRNA from 1 species